GAGUCUGUGGCGGAGGAGACGGGAUGGGACAGGCAGCGGCAGCCAGAGCUUCCCUGAACUGGAUCACUCAGGCCGGACCCGCUGGGUCUGGACAGGUAGGAACUGCAUCACAUUUACAUUGCUCAAUGAGGACCACAUGCUUGGCAAUGCCCUCCAAUACAUGGUCAUGAAGAACCCUGAUGUGGAGUUCUGUGGCUACUGCAUCACGCACCCCUCUGAAAGCGAGAUCAACUUCCAAAUCCAGACCAGAGAGGAGCAUGAAGGAGUACAGGGCCCAGAGGGAGGAAGAGAUACAGUAGCAUUUAGGGAUGGCAGUCUCCAUGGACGUGUGUAAGCCUGGGAACAACGCUGAAAACACCGAUGUGUUAAAUAGAGCGUUAUUCGUUUGCAGCCCAGAAUCCCUCUGUGCUGGGCUGCAUCCGCAGCGUGUGAGCAGCAGUCAAGGGAGGGGAUUCUCCCCCUCCGCUGUGCUCUGGGGAGACGCCCCUGCAGUCCUGAUCCAGCUCUGGGGCAACAC